rnacentral:misc_RNA from 1 species
UUGUAAUUGCUUUUUUGUGGCUGGGGUGGCUGUGGUGCUGAGUUGCAUGGUAAUGGGUGCCUCAGCUGGAAACUUCUUUGAAGAUUUUGAGUUAACAUGGGGUGGUGAGCGUGCAAAGAUCUUUAGUGGAGGGAAGCUUCUUUCUCUGUCGCUAGAUAGGGUUUCAGGGUCUGGGUUUCAAUCCAGGAAUGAGUAUUUGUUUGGUAGAAUUGAUAUGCAGCUCAAGCUUGUUGCUGGAAAUUCUGCUGGCACUGUCACUGCCUACUAUUUGUCUUCUCAAGGGCCAACACAUGAUGAGAUUGACUUUGAGUUCUUGGGAAACCUUAGCGGCGACCCUUACAUUUUGCACACCAACGUCUUUACCCAAGGCCAGGGCAACAGAGAACAGCAAUUCUAUCUCUGGUUUGAUCCCACAAGAAACUUCCACACUUACUCCAUCAUCUGGAAACCCCAACAUAUUAUAUUCUUGGUGGACAACGUUCCCAUAAGGGUGUUCAAAAAUUCAGAAUCAAUUGGUGUUCCUUUCCCUAAGAGCCAACCAAUGAGGAUUUACUCUAGCCUCUGGAAUGCUGAUGACUGGGCUACAAGAGGUGGAUUGGUGAAAACUGACUGGACAAAGGCACCCUUUACAGCAUACUACAGAAACUUCAAUGCCUCUGCCUGUACUUGGUCUUCUGGCACUUCAUCUUGCAACUCAAAGUCUGCAACCACUUCAUUUUCUGAUAGUGAAUUCCAAACCAAUGAGCUUGAUGCCCCUGGUAGACGAAGACUCAGAUGGGUUCAAAAAUAUUUCAUGAUUUACAACUACUGCACUGACCUGAAACGCUUCCCUCAGGGCCUUCCUGACGAGUGCAGACGCUCCAGAUUCUGAAAGAUGGCUUGGCUGCAGCCUUCCUGCUCAAGUUUGUGAUGUAGUCCAACGGUUUCAGAUUCUUUAGUUAAUUUCCUCCCCUUAUCCAGGUUUAUAUAACUUGGUACUUGAGGGGAUAAA